rnacentral:rRNA from 1 species
UACAGAGGUGGCAAGCGUUGUUCGGAAUUACUGGGCGUAAAGGGCGCGUAGGCGGCUCGCUAAGUCGGAUGUGAAAUCCCUCGGCUCAACCGAGGAACUGCAUCCGAUACUGGCGGGCUUGAAUCCGGGAGAGGGAUGUGGAACUCCAGGUGUAGCGGUGAAAUGCGUAGAUAUCUGGAGGAACACCGGUGGCGAAGGCGGCAUCCUGGACCGGUAUUGACGCUGAGGCGCGAAAGCUAGGGGAGCAAACGGG